UUCACAAGUGUCCAGUUGCAACAAUCGCUGAACUCUUGAUUGCAGGUGAUUAUUUUCUUUCUUCCCUUGUUUAAAAUCCCAAACCCGUACGUUGUUGAUUCCCCUCUUUCUUUCCCUUUGUUUAAACCCCAAACCCGUACAUCUUCAUUUCGCUCCACAAAUCUCUCUCUCAUACUUUUCAAAAACACAGAUCUAUUAUGCUUUCUCCAUUACGAUGCUUCUUUGAAGUCUGUUCUGCGUACAUCUUCAUUGGUUCUUGUUACAUGCCGCUUUAUCAACUCGAUUUUCAUGGCGAUUUCUGGCGGUUAAUGCUGAACCUCUUGUUCCUUCCAACUAUAUAAAUUAUCAACAUUUGAAUGAAGAAGCUUCAAGCAAUGGGCUCUCCUUUAUCUUACCUUUUUCCACUUAUAAGGUGAAGGAUACAAGUCGUAGCUUCAGAGAUGCGUCCCGAGAGUCAGCAGUUAACCACGUUGAGUAGACAAAUUUCCUGGAUAUGUGAGACGUGGUAUAUGUUUCCGCGUUUGCUUCUCAAAUCUCUUAAAUCCUUAAAUUUUCAAAGCACCAUGUCCGCAGAGAAAGAGAGAUUUCUUAUGCAUGUGAAACAUGAGACAUCUUCUCUAGUUGCCUCCUCUUCUUCUCGGACUGGACAAACUAGGAAGUUUUUUGCUCCUCCAGAUAAAUUUUGAAAGUUGGGAUGAAGACUCAGGCAUUCUUUGUGUGCACUUCCAGUUAAGACUAUGAUAAAAUCACUCGGAAUCAUGUACAUGACGGUAUGACCAAAAGAUGUAUAUGGCAUGUAUAAGCUCAGGACUGAUCAACUCCCACAACUCGAGAGUUAGCUGCAGGAAAGAUGCAUGUGAGAAGCUACAUGAAGAUUUUGGCUGAUGUUGGAGCACCUUUUCUGUAUUAGCUCUGGACUGAUCAACUCCCACAACUCGAGAUUUAGCUGCAGGAAAGAUGCAUGUGAGAAGGUACAUGAAGAAAUUGGCUGAUGUUGGACAAGUGCGAAGCACCUUCUCUGGUAGUCUUGACACUUUAGUUAUUGUAAUACAAACACAAAUAAAAUCAUAAUUAUGUUGUUUACCAUUAAGUUCUGUGGUAGUUUUGGAGAUGAAAUUCUGGUAGAUUCAUGGUUAAGAGGAUGAUGUUUGUUGAAAAGUUUUUCUAUUGAUUUCAGUUAUGGAGUUUGUGUUGAAGUUAAACCAAAAGUUAAGUAGAAGGUUUCUCACUUUAGAAUCUAUAGAGUUUUACCUCCUAAAAUAGCGUAAACAAUAUGUAGUUCUCUGGAGCUCAAUUUGCUUGAAUUAAGGAUGGAUAGGGUUGCUAGAUUUUUCCUAUUUCUAUUAGGUCCAGGUACUCACUCAGAAUGGGGAAACUAAAGCCUAAUAAGAUAUUAGAUUCAAAUAAGAUUUAUGAAAUUGAACUUAG